rnacentral:rRNA from 1 species
AUGACUUGCAUUCCAGCCGAUGAACUAUGGUUGUAUUGUCGCAUUAGGCCACAUUUUUGUCCUGUCAGAUAUCAGUGUAUUUUUAUUUAUAUUUGCAAUUAUUUCACUCUUUUUUCUCAAUUUAUAUUUGGUCUAUAUGGACCACGGACAAUCAGUUUGGAUGCUUAUACGCCAUCAGUUUGGAUGGCAAAACAGCACAAAACGAGAUUGUGCUUAAAGUUUUCGUUGUCUGCGUUUGCUUAUAGUUUUCCAGCCACCAUGUUUCUAUGUCAAAUGUCAUUUGACCACACAAGUGUCAUUAGUCUAAAGCAAACGAGGAUAGACUCAGCUGAAAAUGUUCCUUUUCCCCAUCCAAACAAAAUUUGGGGUGGCAGGGAUUAA